rnacentral:rRNA from 1 species
GAGUGAACGCUGGCGGUAGGCCUACCCCAUGCAAGUCGAACGGCAGCACAGUAAGAGCUUGCUCUUACGGGUGGCGAGUGGCGGACGGGUGAGGAAUACAUCGGAAUCUACUUUUUCGUGGGGGAUAACGUAGGGAAACUUACGCUAAUACCGCAUACGGCCUACGGGUGAAAGCAGGGGAUCUUCGGACCUUGCGCGAUUGAAUGAGCCGAUGUCGGAUUAGCUAGUUGGCGGGGUAAAGGCCCACCAAGGCGACGAUCCGUAGCUGGUCUGAGAGGAUGAUCAGCCACACUGGAACUGAGACACGGUCCAGACUCCUACGGGAGGCAGCAGUGGGGAAUAUUGGACAAUGGGCGCAAGCCUGAUCCAGCCAUACCGCGUGGGUGAAGAAGGCCUUCGGGUUGUAAAGCCCUUUUGUUGGGAAAGAAAAGCAGCAGGUUAAUACCCCGCUGUUCUGACGGUACCCAAAGAAUAAGCACCGGCUAACUUCGUG